AUGUAUGGAUCGGUUCUGGGCCUCAAGGUGAACCCCGUUUGCAGACAUUUCACGGUCUCUAGAUCUUCAGCUUUAAGACCUUCUGCCAUGAUACUUACUUGUGAUCGGAUCUCAAGGCUAUUCCAUCGUUCUUUCGAAUUCAGUAUGAGAACAGUAGGCAGAUAUUUGGAACGAGCAACUGCGGAGGGCGGGUGGCACGGCCCUGUCUGUCCUCUGUCGGCCAUGAUGCGUCCAUUGAAUAAUGCAGGGUUAAUUCAGACGAGCAGGGACAAAACUGCGCAGUUUUUAAAAGCUUUCCGGAUCGGAUCGACGCCACGGUGGCACACGGUGCCAGCCAAGGCCCCACGCGGCCUCAUCACCCACUUCCAUUUUAUACCAUCCACUCCCCCCAGCAAUCUCACACAUCCCCACACGAACGAUCAAACUCGGAUCCGUCCGCCAGCCAUGGCUCGGCUCGCCGCCCUCCUCCUCGCCUUCGCCGUCGCCGUCUCCGCCACCACGCUGGCCCACGGCCGCGACCUCCCGACCCAGAUCAAGCUGACCAAGGGCGGCGGCGCGGUGGGCGGCGACAGCCAGGAGUGCGUGUACACGGUGUACGUGCGGACGGGGUCGAUCUGGAAGGCCGGGACGGACGCCAACAUCACUCUGGAGCUCUACACGGCGGGCAACGCCGACGGCGUGGCCAUCUCGGACCUGCCGUCGUGGGGCGGGCUCAUGUGGGGGGGCCACUCCUACUUCGAGCGCGGCAACCUGGACAUCUUCAGCGGGCGCGGGCCGUGCAUGGCCACCGCGCCCUGCCGGAUGAGGGUCUCCUCCGACGGCACCGGCGCGCACCACGGCUGGUACUGCAACUACGUGGAGGUCACCGUCACCGGCCCACACCGCGGCUGCGCGCAGCAGCUCUUCACCGUCGAGCAGUGGCUCGCCACCGACGCCGCGCCCUACAAGCUCGAGGCCGUCGUCGACCGCUGCCCCGCCGAUGGCGCCGCCGCCUCGGAGUAA
rnacentral:rRNA from 1 species